GGCUCACCUAGGGCCAGUUGGAAAGUUUAGCUCUCCCAAGGGGCUCCCCGCUCCGCCUCCCCUGUUCCCAGGAAGGGAAUCCAUCAUGCCUGGGUCAUUUCCCUUUCCCUAAACCCUGGCUUAGCCAGGCCGACUCCGCCCGGGCAACAGUGGCAGGGGGAGGGGGGAUGUGGGGGUGUGUGUGUGGAGAGAUUUCUGCCAGAGGUUAAGGCAGCAGUGGGGGACAGCGGCUUCCCGAUGUGAGCCAGGAACCUGAAGCCCGCCCUGGGAGAGGAGUGAAAACAACCUGCGAGUCAGGCAGCCCAGUUCUUUUCCUGGGGAAACCUCUCCUUUCCAGGGGAAGGGAGCAACUUUUACCAGGAGACCGAGUGCUAGUCAAGCCUCCUGAGCUAGCUUGCUGCCUGUCUGCUUGCCUGCCGGCCAGUCCGCUGCUUGCAAUCCCUUCUCCUCCUCUUGCUCCUCUACUCGUCUCAGUUUCACUUCAAGGAUGCCAGACCUGGAACCUGGUGGCAUCCACUCUCAGCCACACACGCUGCAAGGUUGGAAGGAAACUGCCUUACCUAUGGGGAUGGCCUUCAUCUCAACGCGGUUCCCCCCCCAGGGAGGGAGGUGAGGGGGGAUGCUGAAGAUAAUGGUGUGACCUGAACCUUUCCUGUUCAGCAUCACCCUGGGAGGAAGGAGAGAGGCCUGAGAGAAGAGAAAGGUGAAGUAGCUAAGAACCAGGCUUCUUUCAUUCUCAGAAGUGCCCUGACAUGUGGGUGACUGAAUAAACCCUGUUGGAAAGCUGUU